rnacentral:rRNA from 1 species
CGGUGGAUGAUGUGGAUUAAUUCGAUGCAACGCGAAAACCUUACCUACCCUUGACAUGUCCGGAAUCCUGCAGAGAUGCGGGAGUGCCCGAAAGGGAAUCGGAACACAGGUGCUGCAUGGCUGUCGUCAGCUCGUGUCGUGAGAUGUUGGGUUAAGUCCCGCAACGAGCGCAACCCUUAUCAUUAGUUGCUACGCAAGGGCACUCUAAUGAGACUGCCGGUGACAAACCGGAGGAAGGUGGGGAUGACGUCAAGUCCUCAUGGCCCUUAUGGGUAGGGCUUCACACGUCAUACAAUGGUCGGUACAGAGGGUUGCCAACCCGCGAGGGGGAGCUAAUCCCACAAAGCCGAUCGUAGUCCGGAUCGCAGUCUGCAACUCGACUGCGUGAAGUCGGAAUCGCUAGUAAUCGUGGAUCAGCAUGUCACGGUGAAUACGUUCCCGGGUCUU